UACGUAGGGCGCAAGCGUUGUCCGGAAUUAUUGGGCGUAAAGAGCUCGUAGGCGGCUUGUCACGUCGGGUGUGAAAGCCCGGGGCUUAACCCCGGGUCUGCAUUCGAUACGGGCUAGCUAGAGUGUGGUAGGGGAGAUCGGAAUCCUGGUGUAGCGGUGAAAUGCGCAGAUAUCAGGAGGAACACCGGUGGCGAAGGCGGAUCUCUGGGCCAUUACUGACGCUGAGGAGCGAAAGCGUGGGGAGCGAACAGG
rnacentral:rRNA from 1 species